GCGCGACAGCGCGGCCGGCGGAGCGGGGCUGGUUGUGGGGAAACGAAACUGAGGGAAGAGGUGGCGGCUCUGGCGGCGGCAGCGGCGGCCUGACCCACCCCCGUCUCCGCUCCCUGGCAGCUCGCCCUCCCCCCUCAGCGGCAGCUGACUGUCUGGAUUUAUGGUUACAGUAACAAUGAAGAGGAGAAAUGAUCCAGAAUGCACUGCCCCUAUCAAGAAACAGAAGAAAAGAGUUGCAGAGCUUGCCCUGAACCUCAGCUCUACGUCUGAUGAUGAACCUCCCUCCUCUGUCAAUCAUGCAGCAAAAGCAUCUGCCACAAGCCUAAGUGGGUCUGACAGUGAGACUGAGGGGAAGCAACACAGCCCUGACUCUUUCGACGAUGCAUUCAAAGCAGACUCCCUUGUGGAGGGAACUUCUUCUCGCUAUUCCAUGUAUAAUAGUGUCUCCCAGAAGCUUAUGGCCAAGAUGGGCUUCAAGGAAGGUCAAGGAUUGGGUAAAUACAGCCAGGGUCGGAAGGACAUCGUUGAGGCCUCUAAUCAGAAAGGUCGAAGAGGCUUGGGUCUGACGCUGCAAGGCUUUGACCAAGAGCUGAAUAUAGACUGGCGAGAUGAGCCAGAGCCCAGUGCCUGUGAGCAGGUGUCAUGGUUCCCAGAAUGUACCACUGAAAUUCCUGACACUCAGGAAAUGAGUGAUUGGAUGGUUGUGGGAAAGAGAAAGAUGAUUAUUGAAGAUGAAACAGAGUUUUGUGGGGAAGAGCUUCUUCACAGUGUGUUGCAGUGUAAGAGUGUGUUUGAUGUCCUGGACGGGGAGGAGAUGCGGCGAGCUCGGACCCGGGCCAAUCCUUACGAGAUGAUCCGAGGAGUCUUCUUUCUAAAUAGGGCGGCAAUGAAGAUGGCUAACAUGGAUUUUGUGUUUGAUCGCAUGUUUACAAAUCCACGAGAUUCCUAUGGGAAACCACUGGUAAAGGACCGGGAAGCCGAGCUUCUAUACUUUGCUGAUGUUUGCGCAGGCCCAGGGGGAUUCUCGGAGUAUGUGCUGUGGAGGAAGAAGUGGCAUGCAAAGGGCUUUGGAAUGACUCUGAAGGGCCCUAACGACUUCAAGCUGGAGGACUUCUACUCGGCCUCCAGUGAGCUCUUCGAACCCUACUAUGGUGAGGGUGGGAUCGAUGGAGAUGGAGACAUCACCCGCCCAGAGAACAUCACUGCUUUUCGGAAUUUUGUCCUGGAUAACACAGAUCGCAAGGGUGUCCACUUUCUGAUGGCAGAUGGGGGUUUCUCAGUGGAGGGGCAGGAGAACCUGCAAGAGAUCCUCAGCAAGCAGCUGCUUCUCUGUCAGUUCCUCAUGGCGCUGUCCAUUGUCCGGACAGGAGGCCACUUCAUCUGUAAAACUUUUGACCUGUUCACACCAUUCAGCGUGGGGCUCAUCUACCUGCUGUACUGCUGCUUUGAACGAGUAUGUCUCUUUAAGCCGAUUACCAGCCGUCCUGCCAACUCAGAGAGGUAUGUGGUGUGCAAGGGCCUGAAGGUGGGCGUAGAUGACGUGCGGGAUUACCUCUUCUCAGUGAAUAUUAAACUCAACCAGCUGCGGAACACUGAUUCGGACGUGAACCUUGUGGUCCCCUUGGAGGUGAUCAAGGGAGACCAUGAAUUUACUGACUACAUGAUACGGUCCAACGAGAGCCACUGUAGUCUGCAGAUCAAAGCUCUGGCCAAAAUCCAUGCCUUUGUUCAAGACACGACCCUGAGUGAGCCUCGGCAGGCAGAGAUCCGGAAAGAGUGCCUCCGACUUUGGGGGAUCCCAGACCAGGCUCGAGUUGCUCCUUCUUCCUCAGACCCAAAAUCUAAGUUCUUUGAGCUAAUCCAGGGCACUGAGAUUGACAUCUUCAGCUAUAAGCCCACACUGCUCACCUCCAAAACCUUGGAGAAGAUCCGCCCAGUGCUCGACUACCGCUGCAUGGUGUCUGGCAGCGAGCAGAAGUUCCUUAUCUGCCUCGGGAAGUCCCAGAUCUACACAUGGGAUGGCCGCCAGUCAGACCGCUGGGUCAAGCUGGACCUGAAGACAGAGCUACCCCGGGACACUCUGCUCUCUGUGGAGAUUGUCCACGAGCUGAAAGGGGAGGGGAAGGCCCAGCGGAAGAUUAGUGCCAUCCACAUCCUCGAUGUCCUCGUGCUGAAUGGCAGUGACGUGCGGGAGCAGCACUUUAACCAGCGAAUUCAGCUUGCUGAGAAAUUUGUGAAAGCUGUUUCCAAGCCCAGUCGGCCUGACAUGAAUCCCAUCAGGGUGAAGGAGGUAUACAGGCUGGAGGAGAUGGAGAAGAUUUUUGUCAGGUUAGAAAUGAAGAUCAUCAAGGGCUCCAGCGGCACACCAAGGCUCAGCUACACAGGGCGGGACGACCGGCACUUUGUGCCCACUGGCCUCUACAUCGUCAGGACAGUGAAUGAGCCGUGGACUAUGGGAUUCAGCAAAAGCUUCAAGAGGAAGUUCUUCUACAACAAGAAAACCAAGAUCUCUACCUUUGACCUCCCUGCAGACUCCAUUGCCCCAUUUCACAUCUGCUACUAUGGCCGGCUCUUCUGGGAGUGGGGGGAUGGCAUCCGUGUGCAUGACUCCCAGAAGCCCCAGGACUCGGACAAGCUGUCCAAGGAGGAUGUCCUCUCCUUCAUCCAGACGCACAGCGCCUGACAGCCUGGGGACACCCGCCCUUGCCGAAUGCCCCGUCGUUCCCUGUCAGGGUGCUCUGCCUGGGCCCACAGUACUGGUUCCAUCCCCAAAGCGGAAAGGGACUGAGGAGCACAGUCACUGCAGCCUGGCCGUGGGGGUGGGUGGUCUCCUCUCCAUCUCCCCUGAAGAGCUGUCGGGGGCCUUCAGAGGACACUCACGUACCUUCUGGGACACCUUUUGGACUUCCCUCCCUGGAGUCCUGCCUGGGAACUGUCUCCCCUGCCAGGACUCAGCCUGAAGGACGCUGCUCCUACGUUGGAGUUGAGGAUGGAAUGUGUGAGGGGGUCACCAAAAAGGACACACCUGAAAGCCAAGCCAGGUGGUGGUGUGGUGUCACCAGGGGAAGAACAGACCCACAGGCCUCUCCAUCUCCCUUGGAACAAAGGAACAAACCUGCUCUUCUUCCAGGCUGCUGGGCCUACAGUGGGUUCCUGCAUCCUCCUGGGGGCUGGAUCCCUCCUGAAGAACCUCCCUGAUCCCUGUCACCUUGUGGGCUCCCUGGGCAUCUGCCCCCUCCUGACCCUGGGACUAGGGAGUGGGGCUGGGAACAGAAGGCCCUUUCUUACCGUAGUUGGCAGCUUUGUUCAUCAGGCUGUUCUUCUCCUUCUCCAGAGACCUCCUGUGAGGGGGAAGGAGUUAUGGCUCAAGCCCUUUUCCUUCAUCCCACCUUAGGGGCAGCUGGCACACCAGAGCAGGUUGGACAAGGGCCCAGGUCUCCAGUGACAGGGGCAGGAAGAGGGGGAUGGAAGCUCAGGGCCAGGGCCCCAGGAUAGAUGAGGGGCCGGAGGAGGUUGGGGGGGCAGGAGCAUUACCUGGCCUCUGGGCUCAGCUCCGCCCCCUGGAGCCUAGAGUUCACAGCCUCCAGGUCUCUCCGACAAUGCGACAGCUUUUCCUCCAGCCCAUCGAUCUGAAACAUACAGUACAUGGGGCAGAUAGAGAUGGGCAGCAGAGCCUUUCAACUUUCAAAACAGUUGGGAUCCUGGGAUGGGGAGGAGGGAGCCUUUAGGAGGCUUCUUGGACAGCUCCCCUCCACCCAGCAUCAUUGUUUUGUUCUCAACCUCUGGGCCCGGCUGGAAACAGCUAUGGCUGUUGCUCAGGUUCUCACAGCUGCGCGGACCCUCCAGGCCAAGCACGGGUUGGGGACAGAUAGGAGCAGCCCUCAGUCAGCUCUGUCUCCCCAGCACACGCCCCAGUUGGAGCACACAACAGGAGCAACCAGAGCUCUGAACGUGCAGGCGCCUGCCACGCAGGCGUACCAUAGAAUGAAACGAGAUGCUGCAGCGAGGCUCCGCCUUUCCAAAGCACUCCACCCGUGAGGGACGGGUGAUUAGACAUCUGGGGGCCAAAAAACAGAGGUAUUUUUCGCAUUGACACACUUCAUCUUAAAGUAGUCUAAGUUGUAAAAAAAUAUACGUUUUCCCAUGAGAAUCAAUAAAAAUUACUG